rnacentral:lncRNA from 1 species
AGACCUCAGGGAGACUCCUCAGCACCCUGUCUUCAGGGUAAUUUCAUUUGGAUCUCCUCCUUCCUUCCACCCUUUAUGUCGGGAUUUAAGGCUGUUCAGGCAGAGACAUUACAUUUGAUUCACUGACUCCAGACCACAGGCGAACUUCGAACUAAAUUUUCCUGGGCUCAGAUGCAGAAUAUGACACAUGGGAAGAUGAAGGAAUUUGACGAAAGUCACUCAAAGUCUAC